GGAAGCCUGGCUUAAAUAAUAAAAAGCGCAUGCGCAAGAUCUCUUUCUCUGCAGCAUGGAUCCGGUAACGGAGAUUUUCAAGGGCCGCGGAGUCGCUAAAGCAGAUUGUUUUGCCCUGUUUAAUUACGACUUGUCAGCAGGAUACCCAGAUGAUGACCAAGGCCAUGGAUGAUAUGAAGACUGGUGAUACAGCAGGUAUGAUAUGAAGAAAUGAGCUACUGGAAAGAAGUAACCUGAGCAUGUGGAAGUCUUGAAAUGAGAUGGAGAACCGUGAGCACUGAAUUGAAUUGUCUGCAGUUUGUGUUCUCGUUAAGAAAUGGGUGUGGAUAUUACAAAAUGAAUGUCAACAUCUCAGGACAUAAAACGGAAUUCUGUGACCUUUGAGGAGCACGUUAACAAAGGCAUGUGUUUGGAAUUUGAAAAUGCAUUUAUAAAUAUGGUAGCAGCUCCUGGUGCAUAGUCGUAUACAAAAUGCAGGAUCUGCUGAUGGAACUCUUCCAAGGUCAGGUCUCGACAGUGCAGGGAUUCCAGGUCACGCAGAUCACAAGGAAACGCCGCAUCGGGUGGAAUAACAAGCACUGAGACUCCUACGUUCCCAAAACAGACUCUCAAGAACAUGUUGUAUUAUGAGUUUGAUCUUGACCCAUUAAAAUUGAAUUUUGAAACCA